AGAGUUUGAUCCUGGCUCAGGACGAACGCUGACGGUGUGCUUUAGACAUGCAAGUCGAACGAGAAAGCCCUUCGGGGUGAGUACAGUGGCGAACGGGUGAGUAACACGUGGGUAACCUGCCCCUCGCAGGGGGACAACCGGGGGAAACCCCGGCUAAUACCCCGUACGCUUGCCGGGCCGCAUGACCCGGCAAGGAAAGGUAGCUUCGGCCAUCCGGCGAGGGAUGGGCCCGCGGUCCAUUAGCUAGUUGGUGGGGUAACGGCCCACCAAGGCGACGAUGGAUAGCUGGUCUGAGAGGAUGAUCAGCCACACUGGGACUGAGACACGGCCCAGACUCCUACGGGAGGCAGCAGUCGGGAAUCUUGCGCAAUGGGCGAAAGCCUGACGCAGCAACACCGUGUGGGCGACGAAGGCCUUCGGGUCGUAAAGCCCUGUUGUUGGGGACGAAGGGCGAAGGGUUAAUAGCCCCUAGUCUGACGAUACCCUUCGAGGAAGCCCCGGCUAACUACGUGCCAGCAGCCGCGGUAAUACGUAGGGGGCGAGCGUUGUCCGGAAUUAUUGGGCGUAAAGAGCGUGUAGGCGGUUCGGUAAGUCUGCCGUGAAAACCCGGGGCUCAACCCUGGGCGUGCGGUGGAUACUGCCGGGCUAGAGGAUGGUAGAGGCGAGUGGAAUUCCCGGUGUAGCGGUGAAAUGCGCAGAUAUCGGGAGGAACACCAGUAGCGAAGGCGGCUCGCUGGGCCAUUCCUGACGCUGAGACGCGAAAGCUAGGGGAGCGAACAGGAUUAGAUACCCCAGUAGUCC
rnacentral:rRNA from 1 species